AUUUUUCAAAUGACAGGUGAGAAAAGGAAGCUUAAAAAGAUGCGAAUAUAUGAAUAAGUAUCUGACAUGAUACAGGAUCCUUUCAGAAUGUCUUCUGUGGAGAAGUGAGAAAGUAAAUGUCCUGGAGCAUACAAUCCCAUGAUGAAGUCAGAUUCCCACAUAUCUGCAUUUGAUUCCAAAGUGGAGUGUUUUAACGAACCGAAAGAGACCAUCCCUGGCCCUGGAGCAUACCAGUCAUUGGUAACAUUCCUCAGAGGUGCUGGAGGCAUUAGGAUAACAUCUGAAAGCAAGAGAGAAACAACAACAACAACAAAAACUAACCAUGAAAAGAGCAAAGUCUUCUGGAAUGAGACACACCCACAAGAUAGAUGGCAGGGAUUUCAGAUCUACUUGGAGCAUGAUAAAAACAUAAUAUACUUAUACACUUCUGUUAAAGAAGGCAAGCAAGCCCUUUUGAAAUUAAUAAGCAUUAGCAAUAUCUCACAGUGGGAGAAAGAAGCCCAGCUGUCAACUUUUCAGUGGGAUAUCUACAGUUCAGAGCACAUCAGUCCACAGUCAGUGUGCAUUUCUAAAGAAAUUUCAUCUGCAUAG
rnacentral:lncRNA from 1 species